AACUUGGAGGUAUGCUGCCCUUGAUCCAGAGGUAACAAUGAAUCUUCAAAAUGAACAGUUCUUGAUGUCUGUCCUCCACGAAUUUAUCAAAUCUCCUUUUAAAGUCAUCCAGCAUUUACAUUGGGAUGAGAAGUAUAGAUCUACUCAUAUUUUCUGGACAACACCAAUAUUUAUACUGGAAACCUUUAGAAAAGAGGAAGAAAAUUGUAUCCUGUGAUUUCAAUGUGCCAUUCUACCACCCCAUCUCGAAUUUGGGAGAUGUUGUAAGAUUUUAAAAAAUAAAAUAGAAGUCUUAAGAAG